rnacentral:rRNA from 1 species
GACGAACCGUCCAAACGUUAUUCGGAAUCACUGGGCUUACAGAGUUCGUAGGCGGUCUGGAAAGUCGGGUGUGAAAUCCCUCGGCUCAACCGAGGAACUGCGCUCAAAACUACCCGACUCGAGGGAGAUAGAGGAAAGCGGAACUGAUGGUGGAGCGGUGAAAUGCGUUGAUAUCAUCAGGAACACCGGUGGCGAAGGCGGCUUUCUGGGUCUUACCUGACGCUGAGGAACGAAAGCUAGGGGAGCGAACGGG